GACAGAGGGUGCAAACGUUGUUCGGAAUUACUGGGCGUAAAGCGUGUGUAGGCGGUCUCAUAAGUCGGGUGUGAAAGCCCCGGGCUCAACCCGGGAAGUGCACUCGAAACUGCGCGGCUAGAGUACUGGAGAGGUUGGUGGAAUUCUCGGUGUAGAGGUGAAAUUCGUAGAUAUCGAGAGGAACACCGGUGGCGAAGGCGGCCAACUGGACAGAUACUGACGCUGAGACACGAAAGCGUGGGGAGCAAACAGG
rnacentral:rRNA from 1 species